rnacentral:rRNA from 1 species
CGUGCGGAGAGGCGCCCCUCCGGCAGGACCGCCGGCUCAGCUCACCUCUGAACACUCCGACGCGGCAGCCCGGACCGCCUCUCACACCCCUCAGGCAGGAGGAGCCUUUGCGUGCGGCGCGACGGCCUUCCGGCAGUCCUGCCGGCCCAGCUCCCUCUGCGUGCCGCGCGUCGUCCCUCCGGCAGGACCGCUGGCCUAUCUCCCCUCUGAUUUUCUAACGACUCUCUCGGGCUGUGUCCCCCUUCUCGUGCCCAGCUCCCCUCCCGUUCCGGACAAGACGCAUCUGCCUUCGGUGGGAAGGUCGGAUUCGAUCGGUUCCACCGGAAUCGGACCGCCAGCUGAUGUCCGGAGGUGCUCCGUGGCUGGAUUCCCUCUGGUGGGCACUCCGUCCUCAGCCAUGGGAUGCACGCCACUGCUGCCCAUCCCGACUGGGCGGAGGCUCCCUUUUCCUGCAGGUGCUGCCCCGCUGAUUUAGUGCUCAGAAAAUUUUGUUGGCUGUUGAUUUGCUGCCAAGGACGGCAAACUCGACUAUGGCGACGCCAUCUGUGGACUUCAAGGUGCCUAAUUGAUGUUUGGCGUUCCCUCUUCUAAUAACGUUCGUGACGUUCCACUUCCUCUCCCCACAAUCUCGAGAGAAACUGAUGGAUUUUUGCCCUAUAAAGUCUACUACACCUAAGUACCUCACCUCAUUUUAUAUCAUCGUCCUCCAGUACGGGUGGGUCUCUCCCAGAAUUCUCAUACUGCAGCCGGUGAGAAACUCGCUCCGAUCUCCUCUAUAUUCUGUAUGCCAUAUUACUGCUUUCCAUCACAAAUUUGCACUUUGUCAGGUUGUGCGUGCUUGACGACACCCCGGUAGCUAUCUUCGUUUGUCUUCCCUCACUGCAUACACAAACGAAUUCGAUUUCUACCUCCUACUGGUACAUAUUAUUUCUUAUUUUCAUACCAAUUUUGCUGAGCUUCCAUUGUAACCCAGAAAUGUUAUCAUCAGGGACACCUUUUAUUUCAUGCAAAUAUUAUAAACCAGACACAUGACUUAAAAUUUCCUAUAAAUAUUACCUAAUUUAUGCAGCUCAAACUGUGCCAGUGUUUUAAAAAUGUCAGACCAUUUUUGGUUGAAGGCCUGGGCACUCUGCCUCCGAAUAAGUGGUGCCUACAUGAUGAAAUUUUUUGCUUGGCCAAACUAGCCUUGUGGGUGAACGUUUCGUUCUUGACCUUGCUUGCUGCUAUGUCGUUCAGUGAGGCCAAUCAACGUAUUUACAUUUUCUUUCCAAGUAAGCCAUCCAAACAAUCACCACGCCCAAAUCUUACAUGCAUGUGCUAUAUUAAUACAUACAGUAACUGCUUAAUUUACUGGUGAUUAGAAUCACAAUAUAAAUACCAUUUAUGACUUUCUAUACAGUCACUGCUAUUUUUUUAAUACCAUUCACUGCUAAAUUAGUUUUUUUUGCGGGGCACUGCUAAAUUAGUUGUGUAUUAAUAAUUCUUAAAACAACAUCGCUUGGUUACAAUUUUUUUUCUGCCCCACAUCUAUAUAUAACAGCACCCGUAGCAUUCUAUCUGUAGAAGUUCAUCUUCCCUACACCUAAAUAUUGACUUUUACAAACUACAUGGACAACCAGCAGGAAGGCAACAGGUACAACUAUUACAUACAAAGUAGUUUUCUCGGUUCCUCCUACGAAAUUAACACCAUGCAUACCUAUUUUCCUAUAGUAUGCGAUCUCAUGCACCAAGAAAAGUUUUGCCACCUUCAUCAACGCAACAAACAAGAGAAAGACACAAAGACUACAUAGCGGCUGUUACAAAGAUGAAGAAUGCUACAAAAACGCCAACAACCAGCAUAUCAUUUCUUUUUUCUUUUUCUUUUGCGAGUAACCAGCAUCUCAUUUCAACACGACACCACAAAGGAUCAUCCAUCCAGGGCUGGAAAUACAUCUUUGAGUACAUCAAGAAAGGAAUCCCAGAUGUACAAUUCGUUCACAAGGAAGAAGAUAUUGUGCUAUUUAUCCUAUGA